rnacentral:rRNA from 1 species
AGGUCAAGGUGCAGCCCACGAAGUGGCAAGCAAUGGGCUACAGUUUCUAACUUAGAACAAACGAAAGACUACAUGAAAUAUAGUCAUGAAGGCGGAUUUAGUAGUAAAAAGAAAAUAGAGUGUUCUUUUUAAUCAGGCGCNNNNNNNNGUACACACCGCCCGUCACCCUCUUCAAACGCAACCAUCACGUUAAUAACACCCAAUUGCACUACAGAAGAGGUAAGUCGUAACACGGUAAGCGUACUGGAAAGUGCGCUUGGAUAAACAAA